rnacentral:lncRNA from 1 species
AUAGCAGCUUAUUCCCAGCACAUGUAAGUGCUAGUACUUUAACACAGACCAGCACAGUACAUGUACUAAGAAUAAGACAGCUAAGUGACUUAGUCUUUUGUUCAAUAAAAAAGGAAAAAUGUUGAAGAGCAGCUUACUUCGUGUGCAUGUGGUGUAAGUUCGCAACUCAUUGCUAGCACAUGUAAGUGCUAGUACUUUAACACAGACCAGCACAGUACAUGUACUAAGAAUAAGACAGCUUGGUAACUUAUGUCUUUUAUUAAAAAAUUAAAAAGGAAAAAAUAUAAGAUAGCAGCUAUCUUGUGCAAGCAGUCCAAGUAAGCGCCUUAUCCCAAGCACAUGUAAGUGCUAGUACUAUUACACAGACCAGCGCAUUACAUGUACUAAGAAUAAGACAGCUUAG